GGAGGGUACAGCUCAGUGGUCGAGUGUGUGCUUAGCAUGCACGAGGUCCUGGGUUCCAUCCCCAGCACCUCCA
rnacentral:tRNA from 1 species